UUGAAGAGUUUGAUCAUGGCUCAGAUUGAACGCUGGCGGCAGGCCUAACACAUGCAAGUCGAACGGUAACAGGAAGAAGCUUGCUUCUUUGCUGACGAGUGGCGGACGGGUGAGUAAUGUCUGGGAAACUGCCUGAUGGAGGGGGAUAACUACUGGAAACGGUAGCUAAUACCGCAUAACGUCGCAAGACCAAAGAGGGGGACCUUCGGGCCUCUUGCCAUCGGAUGUGCCCAGAUGGGAUUAGCUAGUAGGUGGGGUAACGGCUCACCUAGGCGACGAUCCCUAGCUGGUCUGAGAGGAUGACCAGCCACACUGGAACUGAGACACGGUCCAGACUCCUACGGGAGGCAGCAGUGGGGAAUAUUGCACAAUGGGCGCAAGCCUGAUGCAGCCAUGCCGCGUGUAUGAAGAAGGCCUUCGGGUUGUAAAGUACUUUCAGCGGGGAGGAAGGGAGUAAAGUUAAUACCUUUGCUCAUUGACGUUACCCGCAGAAGAAGCACCGGCUAACUCCGUGCCAGCAGCCGCGGUAAUACGGAGGGUGCAAGCGUUAAUCGGAAUUACUGGGCGUAAAGCGCACGCAGGCGGUUUGUUAAGUCAGAUGUGAAAUCCCCGGGCUCAACCUGGGAACUGCAUCUGAUACUGGCAAGCUUGAGUCUCGUAGAGGGGGGUAGAAUUCCAGGUGUAGCGGUGAAAUGCGUAGAGAUCUGGAGGAAUACCGGUGGCGAAGGCGGCCCCCUGGACGAAGACUGACGCUCAGGUGCGAAAGCGUGGGGAGCAAACAGGAUUAGAUACCCUGGUAGUCCACGCCGUAAACGAUGUCGACUUGGAGGUUGUGCCCUUGAGGCGUGGCUUCCGGAGCUAACGCGUUAAGUCGACCGCCUGGGGAGUACGGCCGCAAGGUUAAAACUCAAAUGAAUUGACGGGGGCCCGCACAAGCGGUGGAGCAUGUGGUUUAAUUCGAUGCAACGCGAAGAACCUUACCUGGUCUUGACAUCCACAGAACUUUCCAGAGAUGGAUUGGUGCCUUCGGGAACUGUGAGACAGGUGCUGCAUGGCUGUCGUCAGCUCGUGUUGUGAAAUGUUGGGUUAAGUCCCGCAACGAGCGCAACCCUUAUCCUUUGUUGCCAGCGGUCCGGCCGGGAACUCAAAGGAGACUGCCAGUGAUAAACUGGAGGAAGGUGGGGAUGACGUCAAGUCAUCAUGGCCCUUACGACCAGGGCUACACACGUGCUACAAUGGCGCAUACAAAGAGAAGCGACCUCGCGAGAGCAAGCGGACCUCAUAAAGUGCGUCGUAGUCCGGAUUGGAGUCUGCAACUCGACUCCAUGAAGUCGGAAUCGCUAGUAAUCGUGGAUCAGAAUGCCACGGUGAAUACGUUCCCGGGCCUUGUACACACCGCCCGUCACACCAUGGGAGUGGGUUGCAAAAGAAGUAGGUAGCUUAACCUUAGGGAGGGCGCUUACCACUUUGUGAUUCAUGACUGGGGUGAAGUCGUAACAAGGUAACCGUAGGGGAACCUGCGGUUGGAUCACCUCCUU
rnacentral:rRNA from 1 species